GUGCCAGCCGCCGCGGUAAGACAGAGGGUGCAAACGUUGUUCGGAAUUACUGGGCGUAAAGCGUGUGUAGGUGGUCGCGAAAGUCGGAUGUGAAAGCCCUGGGCUCAACCCAGGAAGUGCACCCGAUACUGCGUGACUUGAGUACCGGAGAGGUUGGUAGAAUUCUCGGUGUAGAGGUGAAAUUCGUAGAUAUCGAGAGGAAUACCUGUGGCGAAGGCGGCCAACUGGACGAGUACUGACACUGAGACACGAAAGCGUGGGGAGCAAACAGGAUUAGAUACCCCCGUAGUCC
rnacentral:rRNA from 1 species